CCUACGGGAGGCAGCAGUGAGGGAUAUUGGUCAAUGGCCGGAAGGCUGAACCAGCCAUGCCGCGUGAAGGUCAGUGCCCUAUGGGCGUUAAACUUCUUUUGUGCGGGAGCAAUAAUGGUCACGUGUGGCCAGACGAGAGUACCGUACGAAUAAGCAUCGGCUAACUCCGUGCCAGCAGCCGCGGUAAUACGGGGGAUGCAAGGGUUAUACGGAGUUAUUGGGUGUAACGGGGGCGUAGGAUGGGAGGUAAGUCAGCGGGGAAAUGCCCCCGCUCAACGGGGUGAAGUGCCAUUGAUACUGCCUGGCUGGAAUGCGGGUGCGGUGGGAGGAAUGUGUGGUGUAGCGGUGAAAUGCGUAGAUAUCA
rnacentral:rRNA from 1 species